CUCCCUGGCGAGGCAACUGAGGGCCAGUUGCCUCCCUCCGCCUCCAUCCCCGGCUCCGCAGGGCCCCGCCGGUCCGGCCCCUCCCUUCCCGAGAUCCCAAUCCCGGGCAGCAGCGCCGCCGCAGACCCCCGGCCCUUUCCCGCUGCCCGCCAUUUGCUGCCCUCAGGCGUCCGCGCCAUUUCCCCGCCUCCUGACACCGCUCCCCUCGCUGCCCUCGGGAGAGAUCCCCGGCACCCGGGAGCCUCCAAACCUCGGACAGCUCCGGCCCCGGGCGGCGUCGACCAGCCCCCGCUCCCCAGUGGCAUCUCCAGGCCGUCCCGGCCCCCCUCCCCACCCCGCAUCCCAGGAGCUACAGCUGCUCCCCCUUCCCGGCUUCAGGAGUUUUAACUUACAGACAGGCGUAGUUCCAAGUUCCUCCAUCUGUGUGCCUUUGACCUGAUUGUCCUGUAUGAGAUCCUGGUGCAUCUGUUCCACAGUUACCUGUGCAGGAUCCACCUGUACCUGAAUUACUGGCUUGUUUAGGUUCCUUUCAAGGUAGAAUUGUAGAAAACAUCUUCUGUUUAACAAUAUUUGCAUCCCACGCCUGAACAACAACAUACCAUCAUAGUCUGGAACGUUGGAGAAGCUCCAAAGACAAUAUGUGCCAUGAAGAAGAGGAAGACGAGGAAGAAAGGGGUCUCAGGACCUCAAUUUCUGGAGAGGCAUGCUGGGGGCAGAUUUGGGGAGGAACUGGGGGGCAGAUAGUUCUGGGAUUGGAUGGACAAUACUAUAAAAUUGUAGAACCACUGGACAUGGUGUGCAUGCAUCUUUUCUGUACUCCCAUGGUCAGAGGGCCUUCAUUAAAGACCCGUUCUAUUAUCUUAUCCCUAUUAAAUUUGCCUGGAGUUUUUUGGCUCCUGAUCUUUAGGCAACACCAG